ensembl:lncRNA
CUGGGCGUGGCCGGACGUGCUCCCAGCCGGGUGGGAGGAGGAAGCGGCCGGAGGCGCGGGCCCGCAUAACAAUACGCCUCCGGGCUGAAUGCCCGGCGGCUUUUCAGCAGCUAGGGGAUCUUUCAGAGACUUAAGUGGUUGCUCUGGUCGGCGAGGUAAGCGGGAAGCCUGUCUCCAAACGCCCUGCAGUUCUCGCCCUCCGGAGGUUCCAGGCGGCCGAGCACUCAGCCCCUCCCCCAGCCCUUUCCUGGAAAUGUCUUUUAAGAGGCCCCAGUUGGGCCCCCAGCCGCAGGGACCCGCCAGAACAAGGGUGCACCCGCCGUUCGGCAGGACUAGGGGCUGUGUAUGAAAGAUCCCGAAUCCUCGAGGACACGCUGGCCUCUGCUGUGAGAGACGGUGCUUGCCCCGUUCUGCCCACCCGAGGGCAGAAACCUGCAGGGGGAUCCUUCGCGUGCAGGGGGAUCCUUCGUGCAGGGGGAUUCCGCACACCCUACACGCUCCCAAAGUGUGCAGGGAUGUUCACGUUGUGCAGCGGCCACCCCCAUCUGCCCAGAACUUGCUCUUCCCAAACAGAAGCACUGGACACUCACUCUGCAGCCCCCCUCCCGCCCCCAGCGGGAUGCGCGUGGGUGCCGUGUCUGACUCUUUGCCACCCCGUGAACUGCAGCCUGCCAGGCUCCUCUGUCCGUGGGAUUCUCCAGGUUCUGUGCGCCUGGAGCAGUCAGGAGCUGCGGCUCACUCCCUUUACGAGGCUGGGGAGGCACCGCGGCCGGCCCAGGGACUCCGAGCACCCACAGCUCGGCUGCUGUCACGGUGGCGGGACACCCACGUCCACAGCUGCGCUCAGGAGCCUGUCCAUGAGCAUCCUGGGGGCACCCCGGGCACAUGUGACUCAGAGGACAUCCUGCAGUCAUCUCAGGAGACACCCCACCUGACAUGGCUAAGGAUUUAAAUUCCAACCCUCACCCCACCAGGAGCUGCCCCCAUCCUCCAUAUGAGCCGCGAUCAGACGCUUGGUGCCCACGGCGUCCAGGCCCAAGUCCUCGGAGCCCAGUUCUGCAAGAGAGUCAAAAGUUAGCCCGUCUUGCGCCUCACGAAGCCCGCUCAGUUUGGCGAGGUCGCCGGGGCCACUCCGCAGUGCCGGGCGCCCUCUUUCGGCCUCCAGACGGCUGGCUCGCUGGCCACCUGGCGUCCGGCAGGUUCGCCCAGGGGCGGCGGCGGCGCGGUGCCGUCUGGAUUCUGUCCCCGUGAACAUCCCGUGGCUCCCGAAGCCCGAGGAGCCUGUCCGCAGCGGAGGAGACUCAGACUGUUGUUCCCUUUCUGUGGCUUCACCUCUGCGCUUCCCUGUCAGGUCCUGCGUGGCCGAAAGAGGAGCUGGUGUCGACUGUGUAUUUCCAC